CUUGACCGAGCCCAGCCAGAGCGGGCUGCCCUCCGGGCGCCCCUGCCCGUAGGUGGCGAUGAUCGCCUGGGCCUC
rnacentral:antisense_RNA from 1 species